UCGCAUCCGUGUGUCAACUUC
rnacentral:piRNA from 1 species